GCCUCGGUGGUGUAGUGGUUAGAGCACGAGUACCCGAAUAGGACGAAAUGCGCGUUCGAUUCCCGCCUGAGGCC